rnacentral:rRNA from 1 species
CGGAGGAUCCAAGCGUUAUCCGGAAUCAUUGGGUUUAAAGGGUCCGUAGGCGGGUUUAUAAGUCAGUGGUGAAAGCCCAUCGCUCAACGAUGGAACGGCCAUUGAUACUGUAGAUCUUGAAUUAUUAGGAAGUAACUAGAAUAUGUAGUGUAGCGGUGAAAUGCUUAGAGAUUACAUGGAAUACCAAUUGCGAAGGCAGGUUACUACUAAUGGAUUGACGCUGAUGGACGAAAGCGUGGGUAGCGAACAGGAUUAGAUACCCUGGUAGUCCACGCCGUAAACGAUGGAUACUAGCUGUUCGGAGCAAUCUGAGUGGCUAAGCGAAAGUGAUAAGUAUCCCACCUGGGGAGUACGUUCGCAAGGAUG